rnacentral:lncRNA from 1 species
UUUUUUUUUUUUUUUUUUUUUUAUAAGGACAACAUUUAAUCGGGGCUGGCUUACAGGUUCAGAGUUUCAGUCAAAUAUCAUUAAGGAGGGAGCAUGGCAGUGUCCAGGCCAGCAUGGCCCAGGAGGAUCUGAGAGUUCGACAUCUUGAUCUGAAGGCAAACAGAAGACUGUCUCAUGGGCAGUAGGAGAAGGGUCUCAAAGUCCACACCCACAGUGAGACACAUACGUCAACAUCUAUGCCACAUCUCCAAAUAAUGCCACUUCCUGGGCCAAGCAUAUUCAAACCACUGAAAAUGGCAUUCCUAUACAGAUGCAAAGCACAUCUGGGGGGUGGUGCUCCCUGAUGGGGCUGAAAGCUGAGAAGGAAAGUGAUGUUCCUUGAUAUACUUGUCCUCAAAUAGCUUCAUCUGUGCAGUGCACUGCAGCAUCACUUUUUUGAGCUUCAUCUGUGCAGUGCACUGCAGCAUCACUGGAUUGAGCUUCAUCUAUGCAGUGCACUGCAUCAUCACUGGAUUGAGCUUCAUCUGUGCAGUGCACUGCAGCAUCACUGGAUUGAGCUUCAUCUGUGCAGUACACUGCAGCAUCACUGGAUUGAGCUUCAUCUGUGCAGUGCACUGCAGUAUCACUGGAUUGAGCUUCAUUUAUGCAAUGCAUGGCAGCUUCACUGGAACUCUUGAGUACUACUGUACCCUCGGUGGGUAUGAACAGCACAUUGCGAAGUGGCCUCAGUGGGUCAUACCCAAUAGGUCUGUGCUUCAGUCUGAAUGCAACUCAUGAUAUGCUUGUAACCAAGAGAGUAUGUUACAAGUGAUCAGUUGUUACUCUCCUGAUCUGGUUACAUGCUAAGUUACUCUCGGGGUUACAUUGUAUUUUGCUCUUUAGACUUUUCACUAGGAGACUGAAGAGAUUGCUCAGUGGUUGAGAGCACCAGUUGCUCUUGAAGAGUACCUAGGUUUGGUUCCUAGCACUUGGGAGAACUUUCAUGUGUGAUAUCUGAUUAAUUUAUCUCUGACAGCAAAAUAAAACAUAGUGAUCGAUGUUUCCAAUUGAUCUUGGUUCCUGCUGGGUGGCGUUAGUGCACACUAAUCAGAGCUGAUUUUAACCUCUGAUAACUCUAUGAAGCACAGUUUUAAUAACUGCUUUAUUUGGAUAAGUGUCUUUUCUGAUUGAUUUGCAGUCAGACUGCAAAGAUGCACAAGUAGGACAGAAAGAGACAUUAGGGAAAAACCACUUAUAGCAUGGAUCAUAAGAGGACAUAGUGGGUCAUCUCCACAUUCUCGCUUGAUGAUGCCUCUUUUGGGUGUGCAUACUUGAUAGCACCAACAACACCUCUCCCUCUCUUCUUUCACAGUAAAGAGUAAAGGAUGGAUUAGAAUAUAGAAUGAAGUUUUAGAUGACACAAGAGUACUAAUCAUAUUUUAUUUAAUAUGCCAUGAUACCCAUUAGACACCACAGAUAAACAAACCUCUAAGUAGAGCCCACCAGCUACUUUAAUCGCCAUACUUUUGCUUGCUAUGUUUUACUGAGACAGAUUCUCACACUCUAGGCCAGCUUGGCCUGGACCUAACUGGGUAUACUAAGCUAAUCCUUUGGCUUGCCAAGCGCUGGUAAGAAUAACUAUGCAUAUUGUCAUAUGUUAUAAUGAAAAACAUUUAUAGUUAUGCGUUCAAUCCUUAUAUUUUGAUUAAGAGUCAUCUUCAUAUAAAACAUUGAGCCCUUGAAGUUGACUAUGUGCCCAAAUAACAAAAUAGCCAACUUAGUUGGCAUAGGUCUACUGUAUAAUAUUCGAAUAACAAAAAAAAAAAAUCCAACAACAUAUUUCUCAGAGUAUGUCCCUGCUUUUUUUUUUCUUGGAAUCUAAACACCUUAUCAUUACAGUGAGAUAUUUAGUGCCACACCUGGACAUCCAUGUUUUCCAAGCCACAAAUGCAUUGGCUUAUUUGUUCCACAUUAUGCUAACAUUCAUCAGAAAGAAAUUUUGGAUAGAGAUCAGUUGAAUCUUAUGUGGUAGGCAUCAUCAAGAAGCCAGCAUACAUGUCCCUACAAGAAUGAUGCUACAGUUGGGCAGGUCAGGCUUUUGGGGGCUUUUAGAGCACUGUUCUUCUUCUUCUUUUAAGAGUUAAAUACAUACAUAAACCACAGUAAAUGCCUUUCAGCGAUAAAAGGCAGCCUCCUUGACGUAGGGAAUGCUAAUUAAAAUAGCAUCAUCAAGAAUAGACAGUUGAGUCCUGGUGUAUAGCCAUUGUCUGUAAGAGAACAGUGAAUACAAACUGAAACACAGGUGAGUCUUGUUUCUGAGACAGUGAUAGAAUUUUGCCAGUGUUUAAACAUAAUCAUAUGCCCAGUUAUAUAAACCUACGUAUAAAACCAUUUAAUAGGUUUGAGAAGACAACCCCCAUAUUAACGGGAAGUAAAACAUUGCUAAUUAACUCCAAUCUUGAGAAAGGGAGAAGAGUGAAAGCAUGUAUACAACUGGAAUUGUUGCUUUAAAAAUGAUCGUACCCACUUCAUGACAAGUCAGUUUUACUUAAAUCAGGACUGUCCAACAAAAACAUUGUUAGCCAUUCAUGAUCUGAAUUUGUUGUAUGAAUUAAUUAUGGUAUACAUUAAAAGCCAUGGGACAUUUAUUUUGUAAUAAAUAAGGCAGUGGACUUACACACUAGUAGCCUUUUUAAGAUAAGCUAUAAGGCCUGCCUUUUCUCCCUUCUUGAUUCCAGAGAAGAUCAUUUUUGUUCCAGGGGUGUACUUUUUGGGAUUCUCCAAAUACUCUAUCAGGGUAUCCUCUCUCCAGGUGAUGCCUUUUUUCUUGUUGGCAUCUGUGUAAGAGAAUCUAGCAGCCUAACCUGUCUUCUAUACAAACAGACCCUGGAGAUUUAGUCCAGUCUUAUGCUUGCCUCCAUUUUCCACAGUGUAGCACUGGGCAUACUUCUGAACAAAAAUCUUCUUGCCUUUUUCAACAUCAUCCAUUUGUAAUUAGCUCUGGGCUGGUCAACACCACAAAUGUUCAGACUCGAAGACAGAUAUCCAGCUCUCUCCAAUGUUCUUAUAAGAAAAACUUCUGAGCCAGGCACGGUGGCACAUGCCU